CAAUAGCGUAUAUUGAAGUUGUUGCGGUUAAAAAGCUCGUCGUUGGAUUUCUGUUGAGGUCGAACAGUGCCGCCCUAUGGGUGCGCAACUGGCUCGGCUUCGGCAUCUUCUUGGAGAGCGCAUCUGCACUUAACUGUGUGGAUCGUACUUCAAGUCAGUUACUUUGAGGAAUUGUGAGUGUUUCAAGCAGGCUUACGCCGUUGAAUCCGUUAGCAUGGAAUAAUAGGAUAGGACCUCGGUUCUAUUUUGUUGGUUUUGAGAGCCGGGGCAGCGAUUGAUAGGGACGGAUGGGGGCGUCCGAACUUUACUGUCAGAGGUGAAAUUCUUAGAUCGGUCAAAGGCGAACUACUGCGAACGCAUUCGCCAAGAAUGUUUUCUUUAA
rnacentral:rRNA from 1 species